rnacentral:rRNA from 1 species
AAUGAACGUUGGCGGCGUGGAUUAGGCAUGCAAGUCGAGCGCUCAUAGCAAUAUGGGAGCGGCGAACGGCGUAGGAAUUCAUAGGAACGUACCCUCAGGACGGGGAUAGCUACGGGAAACUGUAGGUAAUACCCGAUGAUCUCCGCGGAGCAAAGGUGUGAUUCCGCCUGAGGAGCGGCUUAUGCGAUAUUAGCUAGUUGGUGGGGUAAUGGCCUACCAAGGCGACGAUGUCUAGGGGGGUGUGAGAGCAUGGCCCCCACGACCGGAACUGAGAUACUGUCCGGACACCUACGGGUGGCUGCAGUCGAGAAUCUUCCGCAAUGGACGAAAGUCUGACGGAGCGACGCCGCGUGCGGGAUGAAGGCCCUUGGGUUGUAAACCGCUUUCGGAGGGGAUGAAAUCCUCGAGGGUUCUCCCUCGAGGUUGACAGAGCCUCAAAAGAAGCACGGGCUAAGUACGUG